rnacentral:rRNA from 1 species
AUUGAACGCUGGCGGCAUGCCUUACACAUGCAAGUCGAACGGUAACAGGCCGCAGGGUGCUGACGAGUGGCGAACGGGUGAGUAAUGCAUCGGAACGUGCCCAGUCGUGGGGGAUAACUGCUCGAAAGAGCAGCUAAUACCGCAUACGACCUGAGGGUGAGAGCGGGGGACCGUAAGGCCUCGCGCGAUUGGAGCGGCCGAUGUCAGAUUAGCUAGUUGGUGGGGUAAAGGCCUACCAAGGCAACGAUCUGUAGUUGGUCUGAGAGGACGACCAGCCACACUGGGACUGAGACACGGCCCAGACUCCUACGGGAGGCAGCAGUGGGGAAUUUUGGACAAUGGGCGCAAGCCUGAUCCAGCAAUGCCGCGUGCAGGAAGAAGGCCUUCGGGUUGUAAACUGCUUUUGUCAGGGAAGAAAUCCUCUGGGUUAAUACCUCGGGGGGAUGACGGUACCUGAAGAAUAAGCACCGGCUAACUACGUGCCAGCCGCCGCCGUAAUAC